rnacentral:rRNA from 1 species
UACGAAGGGGGCUAGCGUUGUUCGGAAUUACUGGGCGUAAAGGGCGCGUAGGCGGUGCCUCAAGUCAGGCGUGAAAGCCCCGGGCUCAACCUGGGAACCGCGCUUGAGACUGGAGUACUAGAGUUCGGGAGAGGAUGGUGGAAUUCCCAGUGUAGAGGUGAAAUUCGUAGAUAUUGGGAAGAACACCGAUGGCGAAGGCAGCCAUCUGGACCGACACUGACGCUGAGGUGCGAAAGCGUGGGGAGCGAACAGG